UACGUAGGGUGCAAGCGUUAUCCGGAAUUAUUGGGCGUAAAGAGCUCGUAGGCGGUUUGUCGCGUCUGCUGUGAAAACUGGGGGCUCAACCCCCAGCCUGCAGUGGGUACGGGCAGACUAGAGUGCGGUAGGGGAGAUUGGAAUUCCUGGUGUAGCGGUGGAAUGCGCAGAUAUCAGGAGGAACACCGAUGGCGAAGGCAGAUCUCUGGGCCGUAACUGACGCUGAGGAGCGAAAGCUAGGGGAGCAAACAGG
rnacentral:rRNA from 1 species